AUUGCAGGUGAUGCCUGCCCGGUGCAUCUAAGGUUAAACGGCCGCGGUAUCCUAACCGUGCAAAGGUAACGCACUCGAUUGUCCCAUAAAUCGAGACUAGAAUGAAUGGCUAAACGAGGUCUUAACUGUCUCUUACAGGCAAUCAGUGAAAUUGAUCUCCCUGUGCAAAAGCAGGGAUAACCACAUAAGACGAGAAGACCCUGUGGAACUUCAAAAACAGCAACCACCCCAAAAUACAUACACACCCACCUCGGGCUCACUUACUUUAACGGGCGAUUGGUGUGCAUUUUUUCGGUUGGGGCGACCUUGGAGCAAAACAAAACCUCCAAACAUUGGACCAUUCCUCCAGACUAAAAGCAACUUCUCGACGUGCGAAUAGCAACCAGACCCAAUACAUUUGAUCGAUGGGACAAGCUACCCCAGGGAUAACAGCGCAAUCUCCUCCAAAGAGUCCAUAUCGACGGGGGAGGUUUUACGACCUCGAUGGUUGGAUUCACGACAUCCCUAAUUGGG
rnacentral:rRNA from 1 species